GGGCGGUUAGCUCAGCGGGAGAGCACCUGCCUUACAAGCAGGGGGUCGGCAGUUCAAUCCUGCCACUGCCCA
rnacentral:tRNA from 1 species